UCAGGUGAAGAUGUAGAACUCAGCUCCUCCUGCACCAUGCCUGCCUAGAUGCUGCCAUGCUCCCGCCUUGAUGAUAAUGGACUGAACCUCUGAACCUGGACAAGAAGACCUAGUGAAUGAUUUCAGAAAAAGUGCCUGUUUGCUUAGGAUGUCAGUGCACCAAGCAAAUCUGAAGCACUCCUUUCGCUGAGGAGCGUCCUGUCUGCAAUAACUUCACAGACCUGCCCCAGAGGCUUUCCUCGAAUUCCCUUGCGCCUUACCUACUGCUCCAGACUGGAAGCUGCUUGGGACUUUUUCACGUGGAUCUAAGGGGAAUGCUUUACUAUGGCUGCUGUUGUCCAACAGAACGACCUAGUGUUUGACUUUGCAAGCAACGUCAUGGAGGAUGAACAGCAGCUUGGCGACCCUGCCAUAUUUCCUGCUGUCAUUGUGGAACAUGUUCCUGGUGCUGAUAUUCUCAAUGGUUAUGCCGGGCUAGCCUGUGUGGAAGAACCCAAUGACAUGAUUACUGAGAGCUCUCUGGAUGUUGCUGAAGAAGAAAUCAUAGAGGAUGACGAUGACGACAUCA
rnacentral:lncRNA from 1 species